rnacentral:rRNA from 1 species
CCUACGGGGGGCUGCAGUGGGGAAUAUUGGACAAUGGGCGCAAGCCUGAUCCAGCAAUGCCGCGUGUGUGAAGAAGGCCUGCGGGUUGUAAAGCACUUUAAGCAGGAAAGAAGGGGUGAAAGUUAAUACCUUUCAUCAUUGACGUUACCUGCAGAAUAAGCACCGGCUAACUCCGUGCCAGCAGCCGCGGUAAUACGGAGGGUGCGAGCGUUAAUCGGAAUUACGGGGGCGAAAUCGUGCGUCCGUGGUUAAAGCCCUGGGCUUAACCUGGGAACUGCGGUGGAUACUGUCGGGCUAGAGUGUGGUAGAGGGGAGUGGAAUUUCCGGUGUAGCAGUGAAAUGCGUAGAGAUCGGAAGGAACACCAGUGGCGAAGGCGGCUCCCUGGACUAACACUGACGCUGAGGUGCGAAAGCGUGGGGAGCAAACAGGAUUAGGUACCCCAGUAGUC